rnacentral:rRNA from 1 species
CGUGAGUAACCUGCCUUACACAAGGGGAUAGCCUCUGGAAACGGAGAAUAAUACCCUAUGACAUUACAGCCUCGCAUGAAGCAGUAAUCAAAGUGUUUAGCGGUGUAAGAUGGACUUGCGUCUGAUUAGCUAGUUGGUGAGAUAACAGCUCACCAAGGCAACGAUCAGUAGCCGGCUUGAGAGAGUGUACGGCCACAUUGGGACUGAGAUACGGCCCAG